rnacentral:lncRNA from 1 species
CUGGAUGUAAAAUCCUUAUUGCUUAGUUUUUUUUACUGUAAAUUGUGACAGUUCUUCUAGUAAUGUUAUAUAAUGAAGGUUUUGAGUAUAAACUCGAUAAAAAUACAACAAAGUUGGAGUACCUAAAGGUACUUAUUUAAUUGAUUAGUGAUUAGGGACACAAAAAAAAUUUUAAAGUAGGAGAGGAAAAGUGGCUUUGGGUUUAGCUUAUCUACUUUGAUUGCUCCUCUUUUCUCCACUAUAUGGUUCACAUCCCAUUAAUAAAAAGAAAAAGUGAUCAUGAUAUCAGAACUUAGACCAAAAGAAGAAAUUGACUACAAAGGUCGUUUGCGUAUAUAUAUUAAGGAAGAUUCAGCAACAAGGAACAAAAAAAUCAUAUAAUACUAAGUCUGGUGUACAAAUAGCUAAUAAAUACUACAGGUGUACAAAUAGCUAAUAAAUUAAGUUAGGCAAGACCUACUCCCAAAGAAAGAGUUAGUUAGCCUCAGUUGAUUUCCAUCUAAACUACUACUUGACUUAACCCAUCCUCUGUUUCCAAAAGCCAAAAGCCUUCUUGGAUCAAAGAUUCUUGAUAGGCACUGAGAUUGGAUUGUUAAUUUUCCUCUGUUUCUGAUGUUAACUAAAGGAGAUGGAAUUUGCGGCUAACACGUCAUGAUUCCCUCUCUGUUUAGGGAGAUUAAAAAAAAAGAUUAUUGUGUUUAUCUUAUCUUGCAACUUGAUUCUUUGCUUUCUUAUGGACUACAGAAAAAUAAAGAAAAAGCUACGGUAAAACAUGACUCUAGCUUUUGUGUAGAUCAAUAAAAAUAUCAUCAGCGAGUAGAAACCAAUCAAACCUCAUGGAUUAUAACGAUCAAACGAAAAAAGAAUAGUCUGAGCUCUCCAGAAACCGCAUAAACCAAAGAAUAAUUUUAAAAGGAACAAAGAAGAGUCUCCCUCUAGUAAACGGAUGAACCCUAACAAAAAUCAUUCAAAAAGAAGCAAAAAGGAAAGGUAGAGUACACUCCAAGCAAACAAAAAGCAUUUGCCAGCAAAGAUAAGUAACAAAAGAAAGUUUGAUGGAUCCACCAAAUCUGAUUAAAGAAAGUGCUUAAAAGCAUAAAAAAACAGAGUUCGCUAAGACCGAGAGAUUAUCCAUCAGAUGCAAUCAUCCAAUCAUGAUCUUACACGAGACCCACAAAAAGGCACACGAAUUUACACCUUUUGAUUUUGUAUGAUGUCUUGAUUUUCUCACUAAUCCAAUGAUACAAUUUAGCUAAUGAUCAAAUCAGAUCACUAAUCUAAUAUUCAGAUUUGAUUAAUACACAUGGCCCGAUCCAAAGGGAUAACAAGAUGAAACAUUUGCUUUAGCUCCUAAACUCCCACUUCAUGAGUUUCAACGUAGAUGAUGUUUUGAAAGGAAUAUUUUGUUUCAAUUUACUUAAAGUUUUGAGGUUUUACGAUUAACUUUAAUUUUAUCGAAAAUUGUUCAACCAAUUAGAUUUUACAGUCUUUUUAUAAUUGGUUAAUGGAUUUUAAAAUUAUAUUUUAAUAAUGUUUUUUAAGAAAAAUAUUUUUUUUUUAAUCUUUGUGUAGUAAGUCAAAACGAAGAGAGUAUAUAGAUGGAUGUGAUCAAUUCAUUUAUCACAGGUUGGUUUUAAUUUGAAGUGCAGCUGAAUUUAAAUUGAUGAAGGAAUGUAAAUGUAUUGAUGAUUUAGCUUUGUUUUUUAAUUUGUUUUAAAAAAAUAUGAAUCUCAGGAUCGGCUUUGUUGAUUAUUUCCACUAAUUUCAAGCUUAGAAACCGUUAAUCAGAUCAUCAUAUUAAAAAAACAAAACAAUUCGAAUUUUGAGUAAGGAACGAAGAAGAAACGUACUUCUCGUAUUUAACGGCGAGGUUAAGGAGAGCAAGCAGAGCCGCCUCGUGGUGCGAUUCAGGCGAGUCUAAUAACCUCAGCAUCGAAACUAGCGGCUCGACGGCCUGCGAAAAGUGUCGGCGGCACCUAUGCGACGUCUUCGUCAGCCGACGGAUCUCUCGAGCUGCGAACAGCCUCGAAUCCGGAUCCUCAGAUCGGAUCAAACCGAGGAUUCUCUGAAUCGAGGCGGAAGACGACGAGGAAGAAACAGAAACCGAAACCCCCGCGUGGAGCAGUUCGUGAUCUGCGUCUCCGCCGCGCGGAGAAUCGCAGUCGUGGCUCGUGUCGAUUGAUGAAACGGAGGAAGAGGAAGAGGAAGAAGGGACGGUGGAGGCGAGGUCCAUUUUGAGAGAGAGAAUGGACGAAAGAUCUGUUUUCAGAGAGACGUAUUGAGUAUGGCGUUAGCUAACAGUUACAUACUACGUGUGUAUAUAUAAUACACCAUGGGCAAUAUCUAUGUAGUAUUUAUUUAUAUUUUAAACUAUAGUUUUCUGUUAUUAUAAAAGGGCAUAUUGUAUGAAACAAAAUAUUUAUGAGAGAAGGGGUUUGGGAGACUUUUUAGGGAUGGCUUUAAUUUUCCUAGUUUUAUUUGUUGAAAAUUAGAUAUUUUUGAACAUGUGUGAUGUAGAUGGGUCAAAGUCUCAAAGAUUGACUAUGAGAUUUUGUGCUAUAUUUUAUUAUACUAAAGUUUGGUUCUCCACAAUGUUAAGAUCAGUUACCAACCAUUCUUUGUUACACUGUCUUUAUCUUAAUGUAUAGAUAUAUUUGGCUAAGUAAUCUAAAGGCUAUAAAAGGGAGAGCUAAAACAAAUUUUUUAUGUUACAGUUUUAUAGCUUCUUUAUAGAGUCUGAUGAAGAUAUAUUUAUCUAAGGAUAUUUAAAAAAUAUCAUCACACUUGGCACAAUUCAUAUAAAUAUAUAACUGUAUUUUAUAAUUUACCUGAAAUGCUAAUUUCAUUAUUUUAUUAAUUCACUUCAGUAAAUCAUUAUAUUGAUUUUUGGGUAUUUAAUAUUUAUUAUCAAGAAUUAGAGAUGGGCUUGAGCAAUAUAAAUUAUUGUCUAUAACUAAAGCCUUUCCUUUACCAUUUCAGGCCACACUAAAACACAAACCAGAUAAUCAAAUAUCUAAUUAUUGUCUACAAGUCUAUAACCAAAGCCCUUUACCAUUACAUGAAAUGAAAUGAAAAAGUAACAUACAUAAUCUGAUAAUCAAUGAUUGUCAUUACAAAAAACAAGGGAACAAAUUAAAUAUGAUCAAAACAUCACAUGAAUAUAGAUUUAAAUUUUGGCUUAGAAAAUCUUGGCUACAUCUUUCAUGAGACCACGGUUAGCCUUUGCGAAAUCAGAAAACUCUUGGUACGAUAUGAAUCCAUCACCAUCGGUAUCAAUCUCAGCCAUCAUACGCUUAAUGUCAUCGUGCGUGACCGAGCCAAGGUUCUUGAGAGCAUCUCCAAGCUCAGUGGAAGAGAUAGUUCCAUCUCCAUUAGCAUCAAACUUCUUGAAAACACGGUCGUGCUCAGCUUUUUCUGUUGCGUCAGCCAUUCUUUUAUAGGGGGUUGUGUUCUUUUUGAUCGUGAGAGUUAUUAUAUAAAGAGAUUUUGAAAGUGAAGAAAGCAGAGGCUAUGCUUUAAACUAGGCGAUCUAAGGAGUAAACUGAAGUUACUAAAAAUAGACUUUGACUCGGUCUUUUCAUUAACCGAACUUUGUAUUCUGAACGAUACAAUGCAAAAAAAUGAACGGCUAAAUCCAACGGUUUCGCCAGCUUUAUAUCGAUCUCAAAGAUCAUAACUUUGAAGCAGAAGUCAAAGAGAUGUAUUACCUUCAGGGAGCUCUGUCAAAAGGCUUAGUGUCAUUGUAACAAGUAUCCCACAUUGCUUCCAUGGCGUCUUUCGCUGCUACUUCCGAGCAAUAUGGGUUGCCGCGAAGCGAUUUCAGCACUCUUCUUUUUAUACAUUCCUUUGGUUAAAAAAAAUCAAGAAUCAGUUUAUAUAUUAACAAGAACCAUCCAUGAUAACACAAGUGUUUAUGUGAACUAAAAGCUAUAGCGACUUACUUGUUCAUGGCCUCUUAACUUAAUGAAACCCCUCAAUAGUUCUCUCUUGAAAUGGCAAUCGCCGCUUAAAUGACCUGCACGUAUCUGUUUAAAGAAUACAUUAAGAAUCUCAAACCAAAGUAUAUGUUUAAGAGCUUUAGGCUAACAAACGUAAUGACCUCGCUGCAAGCAUGAUGAGCACAGUUAGUCCAAUCCAGAUUCUUGGCGCGGCACUCGUCGUAAGCAUGGAUUAACUCAUGUAUAACCACUUGGUUCACUUCAUCUUGAAUGGUCAAAUAGUUACUGCACACAGUGAUCUUCAAACAAACAAAAGAAACUGAGCAUCAUCAACACAUUAACAAUAAUCAGAAGCAUUGUAGAGCAGUGUUUACCCCUCUUCCUUUAGUGAAGCCACCAGCUACAGGACCAGUACACACAACCGCCUUGACGAAGUUAUCACCAACUCUGCACCCUGAUUUCUCCAUUUGUUCCAUCAGAAACUUCACAAUCGGAUCUAAUCAAACAAAACGAAACGAAACUAGUUUCAAUACACAGAGAUUGCUAAACCGUAAACCCUAGAACAACCAAUGGAUUCAAGAUUGAGGGAAAAUAUACUUCGGAAACUUCGCUGAAUCAUGUCUUGGCACUCUUCGAUAGAUUUACCGCGCUUUCCUCCGAGGUUCAAAUCGGAGCCUGAGUUAGGAGCGGCGGCGUCUUCCAUUUCCGAUAUCUCGAAGCCGGAGAUUCCCAACGCGAGUGUGGCGGCUUGUGAUCGGAGACGGAGAGAAAAUGAGACGGAAGGGUAAAUGUGUCAAUUAUCAUUAGCAUCCUUCCCUCCCUUUCUAUCUAUCAAACGGUUAACGUAUUCAAUUCGGUUUGUCAAACCAUCGUCUCAGACCGGGUUUAAUUUUGAUCUGUUAAAACUGAUGAUGGGCUAUUUGAUAUCUUAAAGAGCCGGCCUGAUACAAACCCAACAUAGUGAAUCAAUGAAUCCUAUAUUUAGAAGAAGAGCAAUUUGAAUAUGAAUCUGUCUGAUAUAUUUGAGAAAUUUGACAAGAACAAAGACGGUAAGAUCUUAUGUGAAGAGUUUCGUGAUGCUGUUCAUGCUCUCUCUCCGACCAUUCCCUCAGAUAAACUCGUCGAGAUGUUCAACCAGCUUGACACGAACGGUGAUGGCCAGGUCGAUGCGGCUGAGUUUGCUUCGUGCAUGGACCAAACCGCUGGGUCUAAGUAACGGUAACUUUGGAAAAGGAGAUGAAGGAGUUGUUUAAAUUAUGUGAUAUUGAUUGUCAUGGGUAAAUAUCAGCGAAUGAGUUAUAUGUGGUGAUGACUGGGCUUGGGGAGAAGUGUACGGUCGAGAGCUGCGUGGAGAUGGUUCAAGCCAUUGAUGCCGAUGGUGAUGGUUAUAUUAGCUUUGAGGAGUUUAAGACUUUGUAUUCAAUUCUAAGGACUUGAAGCCUAGAUAUUGCUCACUGUAAUAAUGUUUCAAUUGCUGAGGCGUUUGGUUAAAUGAUUUGAUUUCACAAGAAUUAUUCAAUUUCAAAACAAAAGAUGAUUGCACCAUUUAGACAUAAACAUGAAUUAGGGCAUGGAAAGUUUAAAUUUGAUCAAUUUUAAACUGGAUGUAAAAUCCUUAUUGCUUAGUUUUUUUUACUGUAAAUUGUGACAGUUCUUCUAGUAAUGUUAUAUAAUGAAGGUUUUGAGUAUAAACUCGAUAAAAAUACAACAAAGUUGGAGUAUGCAUAUGAGAAAAGACCGUAAGAGCUUUUCAAAGAAAUGGAUCAACUAAAGAGGCUUUUUACUUCAAGGCUUUCAAUAU